GACGAACGCUGGCGGCGUGCUUAACACAUGCAAGUCGAACGGAAAGGCCCUGCUUUUGUGGGGUGCUCGAGUGGCGAACGGGUGAGUAACACGUGAGUAACCUGCCCUUGACUUUGGGAUAACUUCAGGAAACUGGGGCUAAUACCGGAUAGGAGCUCCUGCUGCAUGGUGGGGGUUGGAAAGUUUCGGCGGUUGGGGAUGGACUCGCGGCUUAUCAGCUUGUUGGUGGGGUAGUGGCUUACCAAGGCUUUGACGGGUAGCCGGCCUGAGAGGGUGACCGGGCACAUUGGGACUGAGAUACGGCCCAGACUCCAACGGGAGGCAGCAGUGGGGAAUAUUGCACAAUGGGCGGAAGCCUGAUACAGCAACGCCGCGUGCGGGAUGACGGCCUUCGGGUUAUAAACCGAUUUCGCCUGUGACGAAGCGUGAGUGACGGUAAUGGGUAAAGAAGCACCGGCUAACUACGUG
rnacentral:rRNA from 1 species